GGAGAGGUGUCCGAGUGGUUGAAGGUGCAUGAUUGGAAAUCAUGUGUACGGCGCAAACCGUACCGGGGGUUCGAAUCCCCCUCUCUCCG
rfam:Clostridiales bacterium S5-A11 contig007, whole genome shotgun sequence.